AACCUGGUUGAUCCUGCCAGUAGUCAUAUGCUUGUCUCAAAGAUUAAGCCAUGCAUGUCUAAGUACACGCCUUUACACGGCUAAACUGCGAAUGGCUCAUUAAAUCAGUUAUGGUUCCUUAGAUCGUACAAUCCUACUUGGAUAACUGUGGCAAUUCUAGAGCUAAUACAUGCAACACAGCUCCGACCUCGCGGGAAGAGCGCUUUUGUUAGCCCAAAACCAACGCGUCGCUCUCGGGCGGCGCUCCUCGUGGUGACUCUGGACAACUUUGUGCCGAUCGCACGGCCCUAGCGCCGGCGACGUAUCUUUCAAGUGUCUGCCCUAUCAACUUUCGAUGGUACGUGCUAUGCCUACCAUGGUGAUAACGGGUAACGGGGAAUCAGGGUUCGAUUCCGGAGAGGGAGCAUGAGAUACGGCUACCACAUCCAAGGAAGGCAGCAGGCGCGCAACUUACCCACUCCUGGCACGGGGAGGUAGUGACGAAAAAUAACAAUACGAAACUCUUUUGAGGCUUCGUAAUUGGAAUGAGUACACUUUAAACCCUUUAACGAGGAUCUAUUGGAGGGCAAGUCUGGUG
rnacentral:rRNA from 1 species